AUGGCGCCAUCUCUGGCGCUCUGCGCCUCUCAACCUCGAGUGCUCCGCUCCGCAUCCACCACCAUCCUGGCUGCCAAGAUCAACGGUUGUGAUUUCCCCCGCGAGAUCGUGCCGGCCAUGAAUUUCCCCAAUCUCAAGAAGCUCACCCUGUUUCACACUUCCAUCUCAGAGGACGUCUUGCACGCGCUGCUCUCCGGCUGCCAUGCCUUGGAGAGCUUAUACAUGGCCGAAGUUUCUGCGGCUGGUCGCCUCCGUGUUAGCUCGCCGACUCUUAGGACCAUUAUCUUCAGUCAUAGCUCUAGUGAAAUGCUGGAGAUAUUGGGCCCUUUCAUAGCCGCCGUCUCCAAUAUCCUACUCUUUCAGGGAAUAAGCCCGGCCAGCUCGGCAAACUUGAUGCGCACCGUCAAGGUUUUGGCUCUCAGAUCUUCUGCAGAUAAGUUGCAUGCAGUUCUUAACAUCCUCAGAUGGUUCCCCUGUCUGGAGAGGCUCCAUGUCACUUUUGGUAAACACCAUGAUAUGGAUCAGCAAAAUGAGCCUCAGCAUGACCCACUACAUCCAAUUGAAUGCCUUGAGGCCCAUCUCAAAAAAGUGGUGUUUAAGCCAUUCCAGGGCUAUGGGAAACAGGUCGAAUUUGCCAGGUUCUUUGUAUUGAAUGCAAAGGUGCUAGACAAAAUUGAAUUUGAAGCAUAUAAUCACUACGGCAUUGAAAUGGUGGGUUAUGAACACAAGCUGCUACAAGUGGAAAACAGAGCCUCUCGACACGCUCGGUUCAUAUUCAAGACUAUUUCAUAUUGA
rnacentral:rRNA from 1 species